rnacentral:rRNA from 1 species
UACGGGGGGAGCAAGCGUUGUUCGGAUUUACUGGGCGUAAAGGGCGGGUAGGCGGCCACCGCAAGUCAGUUGUGAAAUCUCCGGGCUUAACCCGGAAAGGUCAACUGAUACUGCGGGGCUAGAGUGCAGAAGGGGCAACUGGAAUUCUCGGUGUAGCGGUGAAAUGCGUAGAUAUCGAGAGGAACACCUGCGGCGAAGGCGGUGCUCUGGGCCGGAACUGACACUGAGGAGCGAAAGCGUGGGUAGCAAACAGG